rnacentral:tRNA from 2 species
GCGAGAGUGGCGGAAUUGGUAGACGCGCCAGACUUAGGAUCUGGUACUUCCAGUGUGUGGGUUCAAGUCCCACCCCUCGCA